AGCUUUGCGCAGUGGCAGUAUCGUAGCCAAUGAGGUUUAUCCGAGGCGCGAUUAUUGCUAAUAGAAAACUACAGCUAACCUUAUACUUAAGAGAGAAAGACCGCUUUUAUCUUAAAGUUGAGAAGAUUGCAAGGAU
rfam:Tupaia chinensis contig69094, whole genome shotgun sequence.